AGUGAACGCUGGCGGUAGGCCUAACACAUGCAAGUCGAACGGCAGCACAGUAAGAGCUUGCCCUUACGGGUGGCGAGUGGCGGACGGGUGAGGAAUACAUCGGAAUCUACUUUUUCGUGGGGGAUAACGUAGGGAAACUUACGCUAAUACCGCAUACGACCUACGGGUGAAAGCAGGGGAUCUUCGGACCUUGCGCGAUUGAAUGAGCCGAUGUCGGAUUAGCUAGUUGGCGGGGUAAAGGCCCACCAAGGCGACGAUCCGUAGCUGGUCUGAGAGGAUGAUCAGCCACACUGGAACUGAGACACGGUCCAGACUCCUACGGGAGGCAGCAGUGGGGAAUAUUGGACAAUGGGCGCAAACCUGAUCCAGCCAUACCGCGUGGGUGAAGAAGGCCUUCGGGUUGUAAAGCCCUUUUGUUGGGAAAGAAAAGCAGCAGGUUAAUACCCCGCUGUUCUGACGGUACCCAAAGAAUAAGCACCGGCUAACUUCGUG
rnacentral:rRNA from 1 species